GGACACAAGCAAUGGAAGCUGCACGAGCCAGAGCAAAGCCAUCCACCAAACCAGCACAACCAUGGACACAAGCAAUGGAAGCUGCACGAGCGAAAGCCCACCCAUCAACCAAAGCAGCACAGCUAUGGACACAAGCAAUGGUAGCUGCACCAGCCAAAGCACAGCCAUCCACCAAAGCAGCACAACCAUGAUGCCACGAAAGGUGACAAGGACUCUGGCCAUACAAGUUCGAACCAAGUGUCGCUCAGUUUCUACACAGACGCGUCCUCAAACUCGGU